GAUGAACGCUAGCGGGAGGCCUAACACAUGCAAGCCGAGCGGGAUUUGUCCUUCGGGACAGAGAGAGCGGCGUACGGGGGCGGAACACGUGUGCAACCUGCCUUUAUCUGGGGGAUAGCCUUUCGAAAGGGAGAUUAAUACCCCAUAAUAUAUCGAAUGGCAUCAUUCGAUAUUGAAAACUCCGGUGGAUAGAGAUGGGCACGCGCAAGAUUAGAUAGUUGGUGAGGUAACGGCUCACCAAGUCAGUGAUCUUUAGGGGGCCUGAGAGGGUGAUCCCCCACACUGGUACUGAGACACGGACCAGACUCCUACGGGAGGCAGCAGUGAGGAAUAUUGGACAAUGGGUGAGAGCCUGAUCCAGCCAUCCCGCGUGAAGGACUAAGGCCCUAUGGGUUGUAAACUUCUUUUAUACUGGGAUAAACCUACUUACGUGUAAGUAGCUGAAGGUACAGUAUGAAUAAGCACCGGCUAACUCCGUG
rnacentral:rRNA from 1 species